rnacentral:rRNA from 1 species
GACGAACGCUGGCGGCGUGCUUAACACAUGCAAGUCGAACGGUAAGGCCCUUCGGGGUACACGAGUGGCGAACGGGUGAGUAACACGUGGGUGAUCUGCCCUGCACUUCGGGAUAAGCCUGGGAAACUGGGUCUAAUACCGGAUAGGACUCCGGACUGCAUGGUCUGGGGUGGAAAGCUUUUGCGGUGUGGGAUGGGCCCGCGGCCUAUCAGCUUGUUGGUGGGGUGAUGGCCUACCAAGGCGACGACGGGUAGCCGGCCUGAGAGGGUGACCGGCCACACUGGGAGUGAGGUACGGCCCAGACUUCUACGGGAGGCAGCAGUGUGGAAUAUUGCACAAUGGGCGCAAGCCUGAUGCAGAGACGCCGCGUGAGGGAUGACGGCCUUCGGGUUGUAAACCUCCUUCAGCAUCGACGAAGCGAAAGUGACGGUAGGUGCAGAAGAAGGACCGGCCAACUACGUGCCAGCAGCCGCGGUAA